AUUGAACGCUGGCGGUAUGCUUAACACAUGCAAGUCGAACGGCAGCAUGGUCUGUAGCAAUACAGAUUGAUGGCGAGUGGCGGACGGGUGAGUAACGCGUAGGAAUCUGCCCUGUAGCGGGGGAUAACCCGGGGAAACCCGGGCUAAUACCGCCUAAUACUCUGAGGAGGAAAGCUAGCCCGCAAGGGCCGGCAAUAUGGGAGGAGCCUGCGUCCGAUUAGCUUGCUGGUGAGGUCAAGGCUCACCAGGGCGAUAAACGGUAGCUGGUCUGAGAGGAUGACCAGCCACACUGGGACUGAGACACGGCCCAGACUCCUACGGGAGGCAGCAGUGGGGAAUAUUGGACAAUGGGGGCAACCCUGAUCCAGCAAUACCGCGUGUGUGAAGAAGGCCUUCGGGUUGUAAAGCACUUUGGGCGGGGAAGAAGUUAUUUUGUUUAAGAGAUGGGAUAAUUGACGGUACCCGCAGAACAAGCACCGGCUAACUCUGUGCCAGCAGCCGCCGUAA
rnacentral:rRNA from 1 species